GCGAUAAUAGCUCAGUUGGGAGAGCGUCAGACUGAAGUCCACUUCUCGAAAUCUGAAGGUCACCCGUUCAAUCCGGGUUUGUCGCA